GAUGAACGCUGGCGGCGUGCCUAAUACAUGCAAGUCGAGCGAACAGAUAAGGAGCUUGCUCCUUUGAAGUUAGCGGCGGACGGGUGAGUAACACGUGGGUAACCUACCUAUAAGACUGGGAUAACUUCGGGAAACCGGAGCUAAUACCGGAUAACAUUUAGAACCGCAUGGUUCUAAAGUGAAAGAUGGUUUUGCUAUCACUUAUAGAUGGACCCGCGCCGUAUUAGCUAGUUGGUAAGGUAACGGCUUACCAAGGCGACGAUACGUAGCCGACCUGAGAGGGUGAUCGGCCACACUGGAACUGAGACACGGUCCAGACUCCUACGGGAGGCAGCAGUAGGGAAUCUUCCGCAAAGGGCGAAAGCCUGACGGAGCAACGCCGCGUGAGUGAUGAAGGGUUUCGGCUCGUAAAACUCUGUUAUUAGGGAAGAACAAAUGUGUAAGUAACUGUGCACAUCUUGACGGUACCUAAUCAGAAAGCCACGGCUAACUACGUG
rnacentral:rRNA from 1 species